CAGUAGCCGCGGUAAAACGUAGGUGGCAAGCGUUGUCCGGAAUUAUUGGGCGUAAAGGGCUCGCAGGCGGUUUCUUAAGUCUGAUGUGAAAGCCCCCGGCUCAACCGGGGAGGGUCAUUGGAAACUGGGAAACUUGAGUGCAGAAGAGGAGAGUGGAAUUCCACGUGUAGCGGUGAAAUGCGUAGAGAUGUGGAGGAACACCAGUGGCGAAGGCGACUCUCUGGUCUGUAACUGACGCUGAGGAGCGAAAGCGUGGGGAGCGAGCAGGAUUAGAUACCCGGGUAGUCCCUGUCUCUUAUAC
rnacentral:rRNA from 1 species